CCCCUAGAUGUUCUGGGCCGCACGCGCGCUACACUGAACAGUUCAACAAGUCUUAACCUUGGCCGAUAGGUCUGGGUAAUCUUUGAACGCUGUUCGUGAUUGGGAUAGACCUUUGCAAUUAUGGGUCUUCAACGAGGAAUUCCUAGUAAACGCAAGUCAUCAGCUUGCAUUGAUUACGUCCCUGCCCUUUGUACACACCGCCCGUCGCACCUACCGAUUGAAUGGUCCGGUGAAAUCGCGGGACGGCGGCUUGGUCGCUUGCGUCCGACUGCUGAAACUUGAUUAAACCAUAUCAUUUAGAGGAAGGUGAAGUCGUANCA
rnacentral:rRNA from 1 species